GUGGCGGGGCUUCUUCUGCAGGAUGGAAAUGGCUCUGGACUUGGCGGUAGCUGAUGCCCCUCGCUCUGCUGCCGCUUGGCUCUGGACCGCAGCCGGGUAAUGGCUGCUGCGGCGGCUGCUGGAUGGUUGCAGCGACUGGGCCUGCUUCUCCUCAGCAGCCAGGGGUCUGGCAGUAGAAGGGGAGAGACCAACUCUCCGGCGUUCCCAGCCCUGGAAAUGGUGACAGGCGACUCCGACCCCCUCCCCGGAGCUGCGGCCGCCGCCGCCGCCGCUUCUCCCCCCCGCUCCAGGAGCGGGAGGUGCCGCCGCCGCGCCUCAGCCGGCUCCCGCCCGAGCCCACGGCUUCCACCUUCCCUUUCAGGAGAAGCCGAGAAAGAGGCUGCACGGUUAGAAAAGACGAAGAGGGGGCGAGAAACGCCGCCGCUGCCGCCGCCGCCGGCCGGCCGGCUCCCCGAGGGCGCUGCCCCCGCGGCUGCUCACAGGCGCUGAGAGGGGCUCUGGGCUGCGGCCGCCGCCGUCUCUCAUCUCCCUCGCCUGAGCCCGGCCUCGCCUCGCAGCGGCUCAACUCUCAAACUUCCAUCAUGGCUGCAGCUUCCGAGAGGAGAGAUCUGAGCGCAGCCGCGUCCCGGCGCCCGAGCGCGUAUCCUGCCGCAGUGCACAAAGAGUCCCGCCACAUCACCGCCCGCCGGCCUGCCCGCCCCCUCCGCCGCCGCCGCCGCGCCGGGAGUCCGGGCGCCUCGGGAGCCCGAGGGGAGGAGGGAGGCGUACCCGACCACGCUAGGGGAGGGGUGGGGAGGGAAGGGCAGGGCAGAGGCUGUGAGGAGGCGGCAGAAGGUGCAGCUCCGGGUGCAAGCGCCGAGUCCCCAACCUGCAGGCGCACUGAGCAUGCCCAGUAUGACUGCUAGUGCUAGAUCGGGCUUGUUGCGAGGCGCCCGCCUGUAACUGCACUUGCCGCGGCUUCUUCUGCAGCAGCGCAGGGUGGGGGUAACGAGCUGAGCCACGGCCGGUGCCCAGCCGGAGGCAGAGUAAACUAUUGCGAAGGUGGGCAGGCGGGGGCGGGGAGCGGGGGGAGGGAAGGGGCGCGGUGAAGGUUGAAGCAGGUUUGUUCAUCUGUGUCACUGACUUGAGUGUGAGGCUACCUGCGCACAGGUGGAAAAGACCAGGUGACCGCGCUGGUCAGUGUUCAAGGAAACGCAGGGACGGCUCGUGCAGCAAGGACACCCCUCCCCCCAUCCCUAGACUUCCCCGGCACGGCCUGCAGCCUCCCUCUGCUUUUGCACCGAUGUCGGAUCAUAAGCGUUCGCGGCGACUUGACUGCAGAAGCCUUCGCCGAGAAAUCCCACCUCUCCACCCACCCCCGCCCGUGUCCUCAAGGUGUCAGUCUUAGUACAAAGAACAACCCCCUAUUGUGUCUCCAGUGUGUAUCACCUCAACCGGCUCCCUUUCACCGCCCCACCUCCCGCUCCACCGGCUACUCGAUUCAUUUGUCCUAAAAAUGAAAGCUCCUAGCAGAGCGCGCUGAGUGUGAGCACAUUGCCCAUGAAUAUCUAGAUCCUCAAAGGCAACUGUCCAGGUGAGCUGAAAGCGGAUCUCCGAAGAUGGAAUGCAUCCUGCAGCCCCUGCAUUCCCCCCGGAGAGCCGAGAAUCUCUCCUCGGGGUUCCAGUUGGGUUCACCGCUUCCAAUUCAAGCUCGAUCCUUAGAAGCUGCUCGACCCGCCCCUUUUGGACCGCUGUGAAAACCUCGCUGGGUGAAUCGCCCCGGAGCCAGGUUCCGCGCUCCCCCUAGCCGGGGAGUGCGCGCCGCAGACCCCGGUUGCAGCGCGGGAGGGCGAAGUACGUGAUUGUAGGAAGCUUGCAGCCCCUGUGAGUGGGCGGAGCCGAGGAGGGUUCAAAAGGAGGUGGAGGGAUACGCGGGCCACAGUCGGAACUACUUUCAGGAGGAGGUCACGUGUACUUCUAGUUGGGGAACUUUCCAAAUUCCCACUCCCAUAUGAUAGCUGUAGAGGCAAGUGCUUCGCUUCCUUUGCCCGGAGUGCUCCCGCCUUGUACGGGCAGCGGGACCCCAGAGCCUCCCGGGUCUCGAUGGAAGAACAGGCUCAGACGAGCCUCCCACUGGAGCGCUGUCGGGGCUGGCGCCGGAGGAGCUGGUUACACAAGCACCCACAUCCAAGCACGUGCCCCCGCCUUCCCUCACCUUGGCUGCUGCCGCUGAUUCUUACAGAUCUCGGAGCGAGGGUUCCCAAGCUGGUCGCACCCUUUGCCCGCUACCCACAGAGCAAGCUAGAGGACCGAAACCUGGGACUCCGAGCUCUGGAAUCACUAGCUCUGCCUUCCCAACCGUGGGAGAAGGGGCUAGAUUUCAGGGGUCUGGCGCAUCUUUCUCGCUAGCGCCCUGCCCCUUAGGGCGUAACUUUCCUGGUGCUGUACUCGCGGGGCAAAAGGGUAUCUCCUGCAGCAACCCGCUGCGUGAAUUCAACGUCGUUGCGACAAGCUUUCAGUCAAUACUUUCGAGCUGAUGAGCGCGCCCCACCUACUGUAGACUCAGCCAAGUGACUUAUCUGGUCGGAGAACCUAGUCCAUGGCCUUCUGCCCAGAACAAACUUGUCAAGUCUGCUUACAGUUCGGAUUGGUUGACCUAAACCGCGAAAGAGCUGGUUCAGAAAUGCUGAGAACUGGAGUGCAUUUACCCCAACAUCGAUCAGCCUGUAAAGUGAGUUGUCCACUGUCUACUUGGAGAGAAAGAGGGCAUCAAUACCAACCUAGGAAUUCUUUCUUUCCGCUGGGAAGCAAAACUCAAGAAUUUGAGUCCAAAAGAAUUUAAGUUGAUACCUAGGUUGAGGCACUAGUCGUUUUUUCAUAUCUUGAGAAUGGGAUGAGUUUGCAUGUGUAUUGCAGUAAUUGUGAAUAUGUGGCUAGGGAAGGUCUAAAGAGAAUUUACUCAAUGUAUGAGAAAGAAAAUGAUACAUGAGCACAUCAUAGUUGCAGACAGCCCCUGAAGACUAGAAACCUCAAGAGAGCUUGCUUAGACGCCACAGACCAUUACCUAACUCCAGCACUACUAAUUAAACCAGGGAUACUUACACUGCUCUUAGGAGAUCUCUGAGGCUUUGUGAAACUUCGAAUUUACAUGCAACAUCCUUUUAAGAUAGCACUACAGGAGUUAGCCACCUGCUGAAUCUUCAGUGUUGAUAUUUACUGAAGCUUGGUUUUGUGCAUAGUCCUGGUCAGCUUGGGGGAAGGAGGGGCCACAAGUGAAAAAAGAACAGGAGAAGGGCCUCCAUUUGGUUUCCAAAGAUGAAAGCCCUGUCCACACAGCCUAAUGUAAGCCAGAGAUUUGUCUAUUUUAUAAAUAGAAAUAAGCCCCUGAUUUUUAGAUGUUCCACUAGAUUGCAUGGCAAGAUCCUGAGAGUGGCUUUCAAUUGAUUAUCAACUAUUGCUUGGUGAGGAAAGGGAAAAUGAAGAUAAAGUUAAAUGAAGGCAAGUGAUUGCAGAGGGGUACAGUGUCCCAUGUUUGUUUUUCCAGUUUCUGAUCUUGUCUCCAGAGUUCCGGUUAUUAGCACUGCUCUUCCUUACCCCACUCCCCAUGUGAAGAUGAGUCUCACAGCGUCUGAGAAAUCCUGAAAUCCACUCCCUGGGAAGAAUGUGGAUUCAGUCCUACCCUGUUGGGUGUUAGGUCUGAGGAGAGAAUCCUUUUCCUUGCUGUGGCACAGAGCUAUUCUGGAGCAGACAGGGUGUACAUCACCAGCACGAAUGUGCUGGAAUAUGAGAAUGGCCCACAAGUACUUCUAUCUGCUGAUGGAAGAAACUGGAAAAUGAGUUUUGCUGCUACUCAGGUCCCUCUACUCAUCUUCAUGGUGAGUUAAAGGACCACCAAUGUUGGCAGAUAUUUGACCAACCUGACGGCAAUAUCAGGUGGUUAUUAGAAGCUGCUGAGUAAAAAUUUCUUACCUUUCCCAGUAUUAAGUGGGUUCCUGGAGGAAAUCCUUUUUUUUUUUUUUUUUUUGGUUUGUUUUUCUUCACUCUGUCCUGCUACCCCCAGAUAUCUCCUUACCCAGGUGGUAGAGCUGAAACCUCUAAAUAGCUGACCCUAUCUAAUAUACAGAAAGUUGUUUUUUGUUUUUUUUUUUCCAAGUUCAAUUGCCAAGUAUCUCUUUGGCUGUACAGGUAUUACAACAGGUUGGUUUCUAAACACUUCAGUUCUCUACGUGACUGGAUUCAGACUGCCCUGGGAGAAACAGAAGCUUGUAACAAAAGGAGAAUUAUUUGCUUCAGGGAAAGUAACCAUAUAGAAUAAUUAGUGAACAUGAUAAACUAGCUUUAAUUAUAGUUUUUAACAGUUGAUUCCAAAACUGUAUUGUUACUGCAUCCAGAGAAUAUCUGAAGAAAGUUCUUUUCUUAUUUUCUUUGAUAAGUGAAAUGACCAGCAACUUGAUGGGGAUGAUAUAAAUAGUUGAUGUGCUCUUUGUAGGUCCUGCUGCUAAAAUGUCUUUUGUUGAACACUGAUUGCUAUAGUGCCUUUCUCAUCUCCCACACACUGACCUUUCAAAUAGAGAUCUAAAUCAAUGGCUUUAAUUUUUAAGCAAUCUUCUCUAUUUUUAUCUACUUAACCACUAUUUUCUAACUAAUACAGACUAAAACAUAUAGAAUAAUUACAGAUUUUCAUUUAAACCAUCCCAUUCUUCCAACAGUCUGAAGACUUUCCCCUUAUUUCAUUUAUCCUAAUUACAAAUAUUCCUGUUGUUUUAAAUAAAGAUAUUUUGCUUACCACAUUUCUCCAGAAGGUAUCCGUAUGGAUGAUACAAGCAACCACAUCCUAAAAGAGAAUGCUCCAUUAUCUCUACAAGUUCUUCAUGCCAUAGUCUCCUGGAUCUAUUUUAGAUGGCACUUGUGUCUCUUUCACAUCUCAGUAGAGAGAUGUGCUGUAUGAAAUUAUCACUCUCGGAGAAAUAAGGGUUGGGCUGGGUGCUUCUGGGAGAGCUAUAGGGGAGACUGGGCACUCACUGUGUCCAAGUAGCAUUUAGAAAUUGUGACUUGGACUAGAGAGUGAUAGAAAGGAAAGACCUAACAUCACAAGACAGCUUUGAUUGUUUUAGUCUCUUUAUCUAACACCGGCUCUGGGACAUUCCAUUUUGGUGCCCU
rnacentral:lncRNA from 1 species